AUGGCGACCAUCCCUGACGAGCUCCUCGAGGAGAUCUUCCUCGGCCCGCCCACGCCAGACGCGCUCGCUCGCGCCGCGGCUGCCGCCACCACCAGCGCCUCAUUCCGCCGCACUCGCCCCUUGCACCGCGGAUUUCUCCUUCGUCCCGGCCGUCGCCUCUUCUUCCUGCUGCUAUAUCCCUCCCGACGUCCAAAACCGCUGCCUCGACGACGAGCAAGGCCCCCGCUGGCGCCCCCGCAACGUCCGCGGCGGCCGCGUCCUCCUCGACUGGAUCUCCCAUUCUCCCUCCACCCCGGCGGGGAGCUCAACAAACAGGAGGAGCGCUGCUGCAACGUCGCCGACUUCAACCUCACCGUCUGCGACCCUUUGUUUCAAAGAUACAUGCUGCUUCCAACCAUACCCGAGGACCUCGCCGCCCAGCCACAAGACCUCCUUUGGGCAUUCAAGCCCCUGCUCGCUCCCAAUACCGGCGACGACGACAGCGACGACCAGCACUUCAAGGUGAUAUGCAUAGCAAGCUGCUUCUACUGGACUGAACCUUGGGGUUGGAGCAACCAUCUGAUGGUGCUGGACACGCGCACCAUGAGCUUCUCCACCGUCAACCUUCUCACCGGCCACCAUAAGGAGCUGAGGGAUAAUCUGGCUCACCAGAGCCUUGGCCAUCGUCGCCCAAAUGCUGUUGUUUUGGGCCGAGAAGGAGCCAUCGAGAUGGUUUCUCUCGUCCGUCGACACGGCUCCUUUGCUCUCCACCAUACUUCCCUGCAGAAUAAUUCCCACGAGUGGAAGCUGGAGAAGAUCGUACAGCUGCCUGGGCAGUAUCGUGACUAUUCCAUUUCCAUGGUGGGUGCCGCCGAGGGAUUCUUGUUCUUCCGAGCCGCUCCACAACAAGGUAUUCCUAUUCAGAAUGUGGAUUGUUACUCAAUGGAGGUCAAGACUUAUGAAAUUACCAAAGUCUGUACAAAGACAGAGCGCUUCCUUGAUCGCAAGCGUGCCCUGCCAUACUUCAGCUUCCCACCGGUGUUAUCCGAACCAACCAUUUGAUCAGCCAGCGGGUAAGCCUAGCUAAUUAUUGUAUUCUGUGCUACCUACCAUACAUUGGGUGCAUGCUUUGCUUGUUCUCUAUUCCCUCGCACGGUUAUGUACAGAGUUAAUUGUUGUUCUAUUGAGUUCACUACCUUGUCGCACUAGCUAUCCAGUUCAUGGUUUGAUUAUGCACCUGUUUUCAACAAUUGUUUGUGAUUGGAAAGUCUUUUCUA